rnacentral:rRNA from 1 species
AUGAGUUGUCGUGACCCUGAAUAUGUAUCACCUGAGCGGUCUAGGUCGGCUACACCAUCAGAUCCCACUUCUGACCAUGGGGCUCCUUUGGAGGACGUGGGUGCGCUCACCCAAGAGGUUGAUGAUGACAUGACCUUGCAGAACUAUCAAGUUCGGUCAGCAUACAUGUUAAAGCCUGGGAGGGGAAUCAAUAAAUACACGCCCGAAGACUUCAUUGAAAAAGCCAAGAGUACGAUUGUUACCUCGCGGAUGGUGACCUUGGAUGAUUAUGUGACGAGGUGGAGGAGGAGGAGCCGGAGCCAGUUGCUCGUUCUAGGAAGAAGAAGACAUAAGUCAGGAGGGGAAGAUGAGGCAAAAAGCGUGGAAGGAACUAGUCGUCGUCCUCAUUUUCUUAUGUAA